rnacentral:rRNA from 1 species
UCUGGGUCAACCUCCCACCCGUGUUUAUUUUACCUUGUUGCUUCGGCGAGCCUGCCUUUUGGUUGCCGGGGGACAUCUGUCCCCGGGUCCGCGCUCGCCGAAGACACCUUAGAACUCUGUCUGAAGAUUGUAGUCUGAGAUUAAAUAUAAAUUAUUUAAAACUUUCAACAACGGAUCUCUUGGUUCCGGCAUCGAUGAAGAACGCAGCGAAAUGCGAUACGUAAUGUGAAUUGCAGAAUUCAGUGAAUCAUCGAGUCUUUGAACGCACAUUGCGCCCUCUGGUAUUCCGGAGGGCAUGCCUGUCCGAGCGUCAUUGCUGCCCUCAAGCACGGCUUGUGUGUUGGGCUCCGUCCUCCUUCCGGGGGACGGGCCCGAAAGGCAGCGGCGGCACCGCGUCCGGUCCUCAAGCGUAUGGGGCUUUGUCACCCGCUUUGUAGGACUGGCCGGCGCCUGCCGAUCAACCAAACUUUUUUCCAGGUUGACCUCGGAUCAGGUAGGGAUACCCGCUGAACUUAAGCAUAUCAAUAAGCGGAUAAGAUCAUUACCGAGUGAGGGCCCUCUGGGUCCAACCUCCCACCGUGUUUAUUUUACCUUGUUGCUUGGCGAGCUGCCUUUUGGCUGCCGGGGGACAUCUGUCCGGGUCGCGCUCCGAAGACACUUAAAAAUCUUCUGAAAAUUGUAGUCUGAAGAUUAAAUAUAAAUUAUUUAAAACUUUCAACAAGGAUCUCUUGGUUCGGCAUCAUGAAAAACGCCGAAAAUGAAUAUUAAUGUGAAUUGCAAAAUUCGGUGAAUCAUCGUUUCUUUAAAACACAGUUGCUCCUCGGGUAAUUCCGAAGAGGUUGCUGGCCAAACUUUUCGCUCCCAACGGGUUCGGCUUGUGUGUUGGGCUCCGUCCUCCUUCCGGGGGACGGGCCCGAAAGGCAGCGGCGGCACCGCGUCCGGUCCUCAAGCGUAUGGGGCUUUGUCACCCGCUUCGAAGGACUGGCCGGCGCCUGCCGAUCAACCAAACUUUUUCCAGGUUGACCCUCGGAUCAGACGUCA